AUUGAACGCUGGCGGCAGGCCUAACACAUGCAAGUCGGGCGAGCGGCGGACGGGUGAGUAACGUAUGGGGAUCUGCCCGAUGGAGGGGGAUAACUACGGGAAACCGUAGCUAAUACCGCGUACCAUAGGAUGAGCCCAAGUGGGAUUAGGUAGUUGGUGGGGUAAAGGCUCACCAAGCCGACGAUCUCUAGCUGGUCCGAGAGGUUGACCGGCCACACUGGAACGGAGACACGGCCCAGACUCCUACGGGAGGCAGCAGUGGGGAAUAUUGCGCAAUGGGGGCAACCUGACGCAGCCAUGCCGCGUGAAUGAAGAGGGCUUUCGGGUUGUAAAGUUCUUUCGGUAGGGAGGCGUUAACUACAGAAGAAGCACCGGCUAACUCCGUGCCAGCAGCCGCGGUAAUAC
rnacentral:rRNA from 1 species